rnacentral:lncRNA from 1 species
CUCCGGUUUACGAGUCACCCUCAUCGCCAGGCACUUCAGUAAAUUCACCGGCACCCGCUUCCUCAAGAGAGGAGCCAACUGCGAGGUACCCCUCCACCACAUCCCGUUGCCAUGAUAACAGGACAAACUCUGGAAACGAGAGAAGAGGAAGCAUGAUAAGAUCCUUCCUGAGGAGCUCUUCCCAGCAGUCAUCAACCUCAACCAGUUCCUCUCUCCAGAACAUUACAUUGACUACAUCGCCUGGGACAUGGCCCGGAACUGCAAGAGACAUCUGACGUUCUGAGUAGCUCUGGGGUUUCUCGCUUGGAGGCUACCAUGCUGCUCUCUGGAGGGCCAGCCUUCUAAGACAACCACAAUUUUUUUUUAAAGCAGGAAAGAGAAUGGAAGAAAAGGAUUUUGGGCUCUGCUGGGGAAGAGGCAGGACAAUACUGGUUACUCAGCCAGCCUUGGUUGGCCUGUAACCUUGUCUCCUGUAUGAGAUGUCAGCAUGACCGCUUAUAUAAUCUGUUAUCAGGCUAGUACAGCUAGGUCUUAAUACUGUAUCUCUAGCUUUGAUUAGAUUGCAUCUUGAGUUCAACCCCAUCAAAUCAAGACAUGGAUGGAAAAAACAUUAGCGUAUGAUGCUUUGCAUAAGAGCAUGGGGCUGGACUUGGCAAUGAAGCAAGCCUAGAGUGACUAAAUUGAUAAGCAGAGAAGAUUGGAUGUUAAUCUGGAUGGUAAUGAAAGAGAGGCUCUACUCAUAGCAUAUGUUCCUCUGGUUGUUAUCAUAGAGUGCUUUAGGCCAUUGUGGAAUUGGAUAAUUACUCCUUGAUGCACCUGUCCUAAAUGUGUUCAGAUUCAGAAACUUAAGAGUUGUGCCAUCUCUAGAAAAUUGGAGUAUAAAAGUUCAACAAACAU